GUGGGGAAUCUUGCGCAAUGGGCGAAAGCCUGACGCAGCGACGCCGCGUGGGUGAUGAAGGCCUUCGGGUUGUAAAGCCCUGUGGGGAGGGAAGAAUAAGCCGUGGCUAAUAUCCACGGUGAUGACGGUACCUCCUUAGCAAGCACCGGCUAACUCUGUGCCAGCAGCCGCGGUAAGACAGAGGGUGCAAACGUUGUUCGGAAUUACUGGGCGUAAAGCGCGUGUAGGCGGCUUGGCAAGUCAGGUGUGAAAGCCCUCGGCUCAACCGGGGAAGUGCACUUGAAACUGCCGAGCUAGAGUCCCGGAGAGGAUGGUGGAAUUCUCGGUGUAGAGGUGAAAUUCGUAGAUAUCGAGAGGAACACCGGUGGCGAAGGCGGCCAUCUGGACGGUGACUGACGCUGAGACGCGAAAGCGUGGGGAGCAAACAGGAUUAGAUACCCGGGUAGUCC
rnacentral:rRNA from 1 species